rnacentral:lncRNA from 1 species
GGCUUCUGGUACCUCCCAGUCUGCUCCUCAUCUCCGCCAUAGCUCGGCCUCUCGUGGCUCGGCCUCUCGUAACUCGGCUUCGCUCCAUAACCAUACUCCUCGCUCCUCCCGUACCCAAUCCCACCGCCAUAGGCUUCCUCCUCACUCCUCCGGUACCCACCCCCACCGCCAUACUGGCUUCCAGACCCAUAACCCUGCCCUCCCUCCUCUCCAUACGGCUUCGGACGAUCCUCCCCAAACCCGGAUCCCAAUCCGUAUUCCUGCUUAUGUGGCUGGGGACGCCGUCCGUAACGGGGCUCCUCCUCUUCCUCCUUCCUCCCGCCGUACCCGAACCCUGGCCCGGAUCCGUACUCGCCCUCACCGCCGCCAUACCCAUACUCGGGCCUAGGCGGUUGGGGGCGGUGGGCGGCACCGUAUCCGCCGCCGAAUCCGCCGCCCACUUCCUCGUGCUGGUGAUGGAAGCCGUAGGCAGGCUGGGGCUGGGGCUGGGGCUUGGGGCGGGGGCGGCCGUAGCGGUCGCCAAAGUCGGCCUCGGUCUCGUAGGCGGAGGUAGUGGAUCCAGAGGAGUAGUGGGGGCGGUUGUAGUCGACGUCGUCGCCGCCGGCGGAUGAG